GGCUAGAGUCUUGUAGAGGGGGGUAGAAUUCCAGGUGUAGCGGUGAAAUGCGUAGAGAUCUGGAGGAAUACCGGUGGCGAAGGCGGCCCCCUGGACAAAGACUGACGGCUCAGGUGCGAAAGCGUGGGGAGCAAACAGGAUUAGAUACCCUGGUAGUCCACGCCGUAAACGAUGUCGAUUUGGAGGUUGUGCCCUUGAGGCGUGGCUUCCGGAGCUAACGCGUUAAAUCGACCGCCUGGGGAGUACGGCCGCAAGGUUAAAACUCAAAUGAAUUGACGGGGGCCCGCACAAGCGGUGGAGCAUGUGGUUUAAUUCGAUGCAACGCGAAGAACCUUACCUGGUCUUGACAUCCACAGAACUUUCCAGAGAUGGAUUGGUGCCUCGGGAACUGUGAGACAGGUGCUGCAUGGCUGUCGUCAGCUCGUGUUGUGAAAUGUUGGGUUAAGUCCCGCAACGAGCGCAACCCUUAUCCUUUGUUGCCAGCGGUUMGGCCGGGAACUCAAAGGAGACUGCCRGUGAUAAACYGGAGGAAGGUGGGGGAUGACGUCAAGUCAUCAUGGCCCUUACGACCAGGGCUACACACGUGCUACAAAUGGCGCAUACAAAAGAGAAGCGACCUCGCGAGAGCAAGCGGACCUCAUAAAGUGCGUCGUAGUCCGGAUUGGAGUCUGCAACUCGACUCCAUGAAGUCGGAAUCGCUAGUAAUCGUAGAUCAGAAUGCUACGGUGAAUACGUUCCCGGGCCUUGUACACACCGCCCGUCACACCAUGGGAGUGGGUUGCAAAAGAAGUAGGUAGCUUAACCUUCGGGAGGGCGCUUACCACUUUGUGAUUCAUGACUGGGGUGAAGUCGUAACAAGGUAACCGUAGGGGAACCUGCGGUUGGAUCACCUCCUUA
rnacentral:rRNA from 1 species